CCGACGGUGAGGGGCGAAAGCUGGGGGCACGAACCGGAUUAGAUACCCGGGUAGUCCCAGCCGUAAACGAUGCUCGCUAGGUGUCAGGCAUGGCGCGACCGCGUCUGGUGCCGCAGGGAAGCCGUGAAGCGAGCCACCUGGGAAGUACGGCCGCAAGGCUGAAACUUAAAGGAAUUGGCGGGGAGCACAACAACGGGUGGAGCCUGCGGUUUAAUUGGACUCAACGCCGGACAACUCACCGGGGGCGACAGCAAUAUGUAGGCCAAGCUGAAGACUUUGCCUGAAUCGCUGAGAGGAGGUGCAUGGCCGUCGCCAGUUCGUACUGU
rnacentral:rRNA from 1 species